rnacentral:rRNA from 1 species
GACAGAGGUGCCAAGCGUUAGGCGGAAUCACUGGGCUUAAAGCGUGUGUAGGCGGAUGCCUAAGUACCUUGUGAAAUCCCACGGCUCAACCGUGGAACUGCUUGGUAUACUGGGUGUCUUGAGCCAUCUAGGGGCUACCGGAACAAAUGGUGGAGCGGUGAAAUGCGUAGAUAUCUGGAGGAAUACCGGUGGCGAAGGCGGCAUCCUGGACCGACAUUGACGCUGAGGAGCGAAAGCUAGGGGAGCAAACGGG